rnacentral:rRNA from 1 species
GCUGGGUGGAUCAGUGGCGAACGGGUGAGUAACACGUGAGCAAUCUGCCCCUGACUCUGGGAUAAGCGCUGGAAACGGCGUCUAAUACUGGAUACGAACCGUGGAGGCAUCUUCAACGGUUGGGAAGAUUUUUUGGUCAGGGAUGAGCUCGCGGCCUAUCAGCUUGUUGGUGAGGUAAUGGCUCACCAAGGCGUCGACGGGUAGCCGGCCUGAGAGGGUGACCGGCCACACUGGGACUGAGACACGGCCCAGACUCCUACGGGAGGCAGCAGUGGGGAAUAUUGCACAAUGGGCGAAAGCCUGAUGCAGCAACGCCGCGUGAGGGAUGACGGCCUUCGGGUUGUAAACCUCUUUUAGCAGGGAAGAAGCGAAAGUGACGGUACCUGCAGAAAAAGCGCCGGCUAACUACGUGCCAGCAGCCGCGGUAAUACGUAGGGCGCAAGCGUUAUCCGGAAUUAUUGGGCGUAAAGAGCUCGUAGGCGGUUUGUCGCGUCUGCUGUGAAAUCCCGAGGCUCAACUUCGGGUCUGCAGUGGGUACGGGCAGACUAGAGUGCGGAGGGGGAGAUUGGAAUUCCUG